rnacentral:tRNA from 1 species
GCGAAAGUAGCUCAGUGGUAGAGCACAACCUUGCCAAGGUUGGGGUCGCGAGUUCGAAUCUCGUUUUUCGCUCCA